UGGCCGAACAUUCAAAGUGUAUCUUACUCUAAAUAUUCUUGCUGCUGAUAAAGCUGAUGGGAGCUCCUACGAAGUAGUCAAAGGCAUACCAGCUCUGGUGGAAGUGACAGGGGACAUGUCUUUGCACCACUUGGCUCUGAGUUGUGAUGAACUCACUUUGUCAGUUUGUGGGACAUCCGAGGAGACCGGUUUGUCCAUCGCAUUUUAUGAUGUCCGAACCUUUAUAAACAAGGUAACUGCUUAAAUGUUUGUUUUAAAAACUCUACCGUUAGUAUUUUGUGAUUAACAAA